UACAGAGGUCUCAACCGUUGUUCGGAUUCAUUGGGCGUAAAGGGUGCGUAGGCGGCGGGGCAAGUCAGGUGUGAAAUCUCGGGGCUCAACCCCGAAACUGCACUUGAUACUGCCUUGCUCGAGUACUGGAGAGGAGACUGGAAUUUACGGUGUAGCAGUGAAAUGCGUAGAUAUCGUAAGGAAGACCAGUGGCGAAGGCGAGUCUCUGGACAGUUACUGACGCUGAGACGCGAAAGCGUGGGGAGCAAACAGG
rnacentral:rRNA from 1 species